GUGCUGGCUUUGGCAACACAUACGCUGAAAUUGGAACGAGACAGAGAAGAUUAGUGUGGAUCCGGGGCAAGGGUGACACACAAAUGUGUGAAGGGUUCCACCCAUUU